UACGGAGGGUGCAAGCGUUAUCCGGAUUUACUGGGUUUAAAGGGUGCGUAGGCGGACUUUUAAGUCAGUGGUGAAAUCCCCGAGCUUAACUCGGAAACUGCCAUUGAUACUAUUUGUCUUGAAUUCGGUCGAGGUUGGCGGAAUGUGUCGUGUAGCGGUGAAAUGCUUAGAUAUGACACAGAACACCGAUUGCGAAGGCAGCUAGCUAGACCGACAUUGACGCUGAGGCACGAAAGCGUGGGGAGUCAAACAGG
rnacentral:rRNA from 1 species